rnacentral:rRNA from 1 species
GUGGGGAAUAUUGGGCAAUGGGCGAAAGCCUGACCCAGCAACGCCGCGUGAAGGAAGAAGGUCUUCGGAUUGUAAACUUCUGUCAUUGGGGACGAAGGAAGUGACGGUACCCGAUGAGGAAGCCCCGGCUAACUACGUGCCAGCAGCCGCGGUAAUACGUAGGGGGCGAGCGUUGUCCGGAAUUACUGGGCGUAAAGGGUGCGUAGGCGGCGAUGCAAGUCCAUUGUGAAAAGCUCGGGCUUAAACUGGGAGGUGCAGUGGAAACUGUAUGGCUUGAGUGCAUGAGAGGAAAGUGGAAUUCCUAGUGUAGCGGUGAAAUGCGUAGAUAUUAGGAGGAACACCAGUGGCGAAGGCGGCUUUCUGGACUGUAACUGACGCUGAGGCACGAAAGCGUGGGGAGCAAACAGGAUUAGAAACCCCAGUAGUCC